CACUUCCAAACAUACACAUUCAGAGACUGAUCAAUACUUUAUGAUUCUGAUGUUUUUUGUUUCUUUUUACACGUUUUGAUGAUGAAUCUGGAUCUAAAGACAGGGAUCGCAUUUGGAUUUUGAUCAUUGUAUUCUCCGUGGUCGGGGUCUGUGGUCCAAUUACUGCAUUAAUCUAUUUCCGUAAAACAAAAUCUGAAUCUCAGUCUAUGAAAGCUGAUAAAUGUUGUUCAGCUUUAACUGCAUCAGCACCCUCCAAUCUGUCACACGGCGACACUGAGAUGAACGAGACGACAACCAACGACACUCAGAAGGCCGAAACAUCUUCGGUCACACAGGAGAGCGAUGGGGUCAGACAACGGCCGUCGCCUGUGAAGACUGAACCAAGUGAUAACCUGAAUCCAUCACCUUCAACAUCAGUACAACUGUAGAAUGAAUCUGACUGACACAGUUUCAUUGUCAUUGUGUGAAUCUAUGCGUUACAUUAAUGCACAUCCCUUCGAUUUAUCCUGCUAAUAUCAUUAUCUGUUGCACUAACUGUUCAGCUCUUCAUUUAUUUAAUUGCACAUGUCUCUUUUUAUAUUUGUAUAUAUUGUCUCUUUUUAUCGUCUCCAUUUUAUCUUUAUUCAUAUUUUUCUAUGUUUCAUUGUUAUGCACCAAUUUACAAAAACAAAUUCCUUGUAUGUGAAAACUUACUUGACAAUAAGCCUGAUUGUGAUUCUGAUCAGAGCUCUGAACGCAAAAUAUGUCGUCACUGUGAAAGAAAUAAAAGGUUACACUUUAAAUUCUAUAGAGUUUAAGUAAGAGAGGAAAUAUGAUAUUUAAGUUUUAUUAAAUGUCUUGUAUUAGAGGAGGUUUAUAAACAUUCAAACGCCUAUAACUGUACAUUUGUAAUAUACAUGAUGACUGUAUAUAAUUAAUGAUUUUUUAAAAUACUUUUGCAUUUUCCUUAUUUUGCCAAUACUUGACAGAAGUUGUAAGAGGAAAAGAUCAUAAGAUUCACAUUAUCACUAAUAAUAAAAUACAAUUCACAUGUAAUGUC